rnacentral:rRNA from 1 species
AUGCUCGUCGCCAACUUCGCCACCGCGUCCAUCGGUCACCUCACCAAGGUGGCCACAGUGGGGCCUUGUAGAACCCCCAUCACCUCCGUGGACGUCAUCUGCCGCGACUCUAGGGCUCUGCCGGGCCCUGUGGCCGCUGCGGCCGUCAGCGAUCUCGACCUCUCCUGGCCCGCCACCCCUCUGGUGUUGGAGGAAGACAACGAGGUCCAUGCUCCCAUGGUGCCGCUGCCUUCUCCUCCGCCCGCCGCCGACCCUCCGGUGGCCUCCCCCGCCCGCCGCCGGAGCGCCUGCCUCGCCGGGAUCGAGCCUCCGGAGUACGUCUCCAUCAUCCUGAAGGCCACUCAGUGCAUGCAUGUCUUGAAGGAAGGAAAGAUUUCUGCUGGUGGAAAGGCGCUCCUCCCAGUUCAGCUCAUCGACAUGGCGCCCGAGGUUUCCUCGCCCCUCCCUCGGCAGGACGUGCUGGAGCUUGCCGCUGCCUGUGACGUGCCCGCCUCGGCUCUCCCUGAUGACACCGCAUGUGUCUAA